rnacentral:rRNA from 1 species
UACGAAGGGGGCUAGCGUUGUUCGGAAUUACUGGGCGUAAAGCGUGCGCAGGCGGUUUUGUAAGUCAGAUGUGAAAUCCCCGGGCUUAACCUGGGAACUGCGUUUGAAACUACAAGGCUAGAGUGUGGCAGAGGGGGGUGGAAUUCCACGUGUAGCAGUGAAAUGCGUAGAUAUGCGGAGGAACACCGAUGGCGAAGGCAACUCCCCUGGGCCUGCACUGACGCUCAUGCACGAAAGCGUGGGGAGCAAACAGGAUAGAAACCCUGGUA